rnacentral:rRNA from 1 species
GAAAUUCCUUGUCGGGUAAGUUCCGACCCGCACGAAAGGUGUAACGAUUUGGGCACUGUCUCAACCAGAGACUCGGUGAAAUUAUAGUACCUGUGAAGAUGCAGGUUACCCGCGACAGGACGGAAAGACCCCGUGGAGCUUUACUGUAGCCUGAUAUUGAAUUUUGGUACAGUUUGUACAGGAUAGGCGGGAGCCUUUGAAACCGGAGCGCUAGCUUCGGUGGAGGCGCUGGUGGGAUACCGCCCUGACUGUAUUGAAAUUCUAACCUACGGGUCUUAUCGACCCGGGAGACAGUGUCAGGUGGGCAGUUUGACUGGGGCGGUCGCCUCCUAAAGUGUAACGGAGGCGCCCAAAGGUUCCCUCAGAAUGGUUGGAAAUCAUUCGUAGAGUGCAAAGGCAUAAGGGAGCUUGACUGCGAGACCUACAAGUCGAGCAGGGACGAAAGUCGGGCUUAGUGAUCCGGUGGUUCCGCAUGGAAGGGCCAUCGCUCAACGGAUAAAAGCUACCCCGGGGAUAACAGGCUUAUCUCCCCCAAGAGUCCACAUCGACGGGGAGGUUUGGCACCUCGAUGUCGGCUCAUCGCAUCCUGGGGCUGUAGUCGGUCCCAAGGGUUGGGCUGUUCGCCCA